rnacentral:rRNA from 1 species
AUUGAACGCUGGCGGCAUGCCUUACACAUGCAAGUCGAACGGUAACAGGUCUUCGGAUGCUGACGAGUGGCGAACGGGUGAGUAAUACAUCGGAACGUGCCCGAUCGUGGGGGAUAACGCAGCGAAAGCUGUGCUAAUACCGCAUACGAUCUACGGAUGAAAGCGGGGGAUCGCAAGACCUCGCGCGGACGGAGCGGCCGAUGGCAGAUUAGGUAGUUGGUGGGAUAAAAGCUUACCAAGCCGACGAUCUGUAGCUGGUCUGAGAGGACGACCAGCCACACUGGGACUGAGACACGGCCCAGACUCCUACGGGAGGCAGCAGUGGGGAAUUUUGGACAAUGGGCGCAAGCCUGAUCCAGCCAUGCCGCGUGCAGGAUGAAGGCCUCGGGUUGUAAACUGCUUUGUACGGACGAAAAGACUCUCUCUAUACAGGGGUGAAUGACGGUACCGUAAGAAUAAGCACCGGCUAACUACGUGCCAGCAGCCG